GAUUAACGCUAGCGGUGUGUAUAAUACAUGCAAGUCGAACGAUGCUUUUAGUAUAGUGGCGGACGAGCGAGUAACACGUUGGAACCUACCCCGAACUCAGGGAUAACAUUUAGAAAUAAAUGCUAAUACCGGAUAGUCCCGCAAGGGUAAAGAUUUUUCGGUUCGGGAGGGUCCUGCGGCCUAUCAGCUUGUUGGUGAGGUAAUGGCUUACCAAGGCUAUGACGGGUAGCUGGUCUGAGAGGAUGACCAGUCGCGAUGGGACUGAGACACGGCCCAUACUCCUACGGGAGGCAGCAGUAAGGAAUCUUCCGCAAUGGACGAAAGUCUGACGGAGCAACACCGCGUGGUUGAUGAAGCCCCUUGGGGUGUAAAGACCUUUUCUGAGGGAAGAACUCUGACGGUACCUUAGGAAUAAGCACCGGCUAACUCCGUG
rnacentral:rRNA from 1 species